rnacentral:pre_miRNA from 1 species
AGCACAAUUGCUGGGUUAUAUGGGAAGGGUAUGUUUAGUUUUAUAAGAAACUGCCACACUGUCUGUCAAAGUGAUUGAACCAUUUUUCAUUUCCACCAGCAAC